CCUACGGGUGGCAGCAGUGAGGAAUAUUGGUCAAUGGGCGAGAGCCUGAACCAGCCAAGUCGCGUGAGGGAGUACUGCCCUAUGGGUUGUAAACCUCUUUUGUCGGGGAGCAAAAGCCGGACGUGUCCGGCUGUGAGAGUACCCGAAGAAAAAGCAUCGGCUAACUCCGUGUCAGCAGCCGCGGUAAUACGGAGGAUGCGAGCGUUAUCCGGAUUUAUUGGGUUUAAAGGGUGCGCAGGCGGAUUUUUAAGUCAGCGGUCAAAUCGUGGGGCUCAACCGUAAAAUUGCAAUUGAUACUGGCAGCCUUGAGUACAGUUGAGGUAGGCGGAAUUCGUGGUGUAGCGGUGAAAUGCUUAGAUAUCACGAAGAACUCCGAUUGCGAAGGCAGCCUACUAAACUGCCACUGACAUUGAUGCUCGAAAGUGUGGGUAUCAAACAGGAUUAGAUACCCCAGUAGUC
rnacentral:rRNA from 1 species